UUUCAGCAGUGAGGAAGGUGGGUAUGUUAAUAGCAUACUCAUUUGACGUUAGCUGCAGAAGAAGCACCGGCUAACUCCGUGCCAGCAGCCGCGGUAAUACGGAGGGUGCGAGCGUUAAUCGGAAUUACUGGGCGUAAAGCGCAUGCAGGUGGUUUGUUAAGUCAGAUGUGAAAGACCCGGGGCUCAACCUCGGAAUUGCAUUUGAAACUGGCAAACUAGAGUACUGUAGAGGGGGUAGGAAUUUCAGGUGUAGCGGUGAAAUGCGUAGAGAUCUGAAGGAAUACCGGUGGCGAAGGCGGCCCCCUGGACAGAUACUGACACUCAGAUGCGAAAGCGUGGGGAGCAAACAGGAUUAGAUACCCUGGUAG
rnacentral:rRNA from 1 species